rnacentral:lncRNA from 1 species
UAACAAUUUUUAGCUGUAUCUUCUUACUGACUUUUACAGCAGCCAGUGGUAUCUGCCCAAGUAAGCAAAGGCUUGGAUCCUGUUUCUUUCUCAGCUGACUCAUUUUAUCCCAAGAUUUCCCAUUGCAAUUAUCUGGUAAGUUCAAGAAAGUCAUUAAUUUGCGGUUUGUCCUGUAUUUUCCUUCCCUUGAUGUUCUUUCAGGUCUCUCCUUUCCUAAGCUGAAAUAGAAAGUGAUCUGGUUAUAGAAUUACACACGGACAAUUCUUUUUUCAAUUUUUUAAAAUAUAUUGCUCCACUCUCUGACUUGCAUUUUUUUCCAACAAGAAAUAUGCUCCAUUCUUAUUGUUAGUCCUGUGUAGAUAUCUUUUAAUCUACUUUUAAGAUUUUCAUUUUAUCACUCCUUUUAAACAGGUUAUUUUAUUCCUCUGUAUGGUUUUCUCUCUUGGAUCUGUAGGUUUGUAGUUUUCAUCACAUUUGAAAAUGUUUGCCAUUAUUUUCCCCAAAUAUCUCCUCAAAUAUUUUCCUCACUCUCCUUUUCUCUGAGGAUUCCAACUAUACAUAUUAGAAUUUCUAAAGUAAACCUAUAGCUCCCUAAUUAUCAGUCUUCUUUCUUUCUUUUUUCUUUUUUGUUAUUGUCUUUAAGUCUUUUCUGGUUUUCAUUGUGAAUAGUUACUACUGAUACAUCUUGAAGUUCACGAAUCUUUUAGGCAGAAAUGUCUAAUUUGUCAUUAAUCCCAUCUAGUGCAUUUUUCAUCUCAGACAUUAUAGUUUUUAUCUUUGGAAAAAGUUUAAGUUUUUUUUUUUUUUGUAUCUUCCAUUUCUCCAUGUAACAUUUUCAAUAUUUUCUCAAACUUUUCAAGUAUAUGGAGUACAGUUAUAAAAACUGUUUUAAUGUCCUUGUCUAUUAAUUUCAACAUCUGUUUCUGAACUGUAUUGGUUUUAAUUGAUUAAUUUUUCUCCUCAUUAUGGAUUUCAUUUUGCUGCUUCUUUUUAUGCCUCUUCAUAUGUUAAUUGUAUGCCAGAAAUCAUGAAUCAUACCUUGUUGAAUGUUGAAUAUUUUUAUAUUCCUCUGAAAUUCCUAAGCUUUGUUCUGGGACUCUGUUAAGUAACUUGGAAACAGUUUGAUCCUUUACGGUCUUAUUUUAAAGAUUUGUUAGGCUGAAGUAAAACAGUAGUCUAUAUCUAAUUUUUCUCCUCUACUGAGAAAAGACCCUUCUGAGUAUUUCCAAAUCUCUACAAAUUACAUGCUUUUUGAGUCUGGCUGGGGAAUAAGUAAUAUUCUUUGCACCACGUGAUAUCUCUGAGCAGUGCUGUUGCUUUUUAAUGCUAUCAGAUAAAUUCUUCUGUUUUCUUUUCCUGGCCUCCAGUAGUUUCCUCAGACCCAGUAGCUGAGUAGUAUGCUACUCAUAUUGUUACAGAGUUGCUGAUGGCUCCAGGGGAACACCUCUGCAAAUAUCUGCAGGUUUUUUUUGUUUGUUUGUUAGUUUUGUUUUUGUUGAUGCACCUUUUUCAAGUUCUCCGUCAGGUUGGUCUUUCCCGGAUUCUCAGUUGCUUCCCACCUCCAGACAUCUUUCAGGCAUUGCUCAGCUUCCUUCAUGUGCUACAGCCUUGAAAUCCUCUAAGGCAGUAAACUCGAGCAACGUUAGAGUUUCCCCCAUUUGUUUCCUGACUUAAAGGUCAUUGUCCUGCAUUCUGUAUGAUCAAUGUCUUAAAAACUCUGGUUUAAUAUAUUUUGCCCAUUUUUUUAGUUGUUUCAAAUAGAAGGAUAUAUUUCAUGCUGGGUAACUCUAUUUUGAUUGAAAGCAAAAAUCUUAAAUCAUGUUCAAGUACACAAAAUAUUUUGAACAUUUCCUGAACAUUUAACCUCUUCACCAGAAAUAUUUCUGUCAAAAUGAAGUAAUCACAUGGUAUAGUUUUAACACUUAUACCCAAUAGCUGAUUUUUAAAUUAUUCAUAUUGCCUGCAACCCAAUAUCAUUCCUCCUUUUCUGUGACAUUAACCCAGAAUUCCUUUGAGUAAUUUGCCUCCCUAGUUAGCCAGUGUGGUUUAUUUUGGGCUCCACUCCAUCUUAGAUCAUUGAAAGAUGGUAUUUCAAAGUAGUUUGAAUUUGCAUUUUUCCUAUCAUGAGUGAGAUUAGGCAAAUCUUAAUGUGCUUAAAAACCAUUUGUGAGUGAGUGUGUGUGUGUGUGUGCAUGUACGUGCACACCUGUGCAUGUUUUCCAAUAAAAUGUCAGUUCAUAUCCUAGGUUCAUCAUUCUUUGGGGGUAGUAUGUCCCUUUCUCAAUUUCUUUGAGCUUCCUAUGUACUUAAGAGAGUGACUCAUUUGUCUCAUAAUGAGUUGAAUUGAUCGGUUAAAUUGAACCCACUGAGUUUUAUUCUUUAGUUUUACUCUUUGGUAAAACAUUGUUUACUCAACAUGUGAUUUUUAUUUCUAUGUAGCAAAAUCUUUUCUUUUUAGACUUCUAUAUUUUUAAUCAUGGUUAGACUUUACUAAUGCCAAGAAUAUGAAGAAUCUUUCCAGUGGUCUAUUUUAAUAUUGUCUUAUUCAUGUGUCUUCUUAUAAAUUAAUUCUUUACAUUUGUUGAUAAUUUCCCCCAAAUAUUCUAGCCAUAUGACUUGUUUAUGAGUUCUCCUAGCACUGAUUAAGCCACAUCAUUUAUUAUAAUUAUUUGCUUUCUUAACAUUUUUAUAGUAUAUUGUUUCAUAUAUCUCAUAAUCCCUAGCUAAACUGAGCUCAGUGAGAAUACAGAUCACAUGUUCUCUUCCUUUGUCACCACAAAGUCCUGGUACAAUGCCAAACAAAAAAUACAACAUGCUAAGCACUAGAUGUUGAUGCUAAAGUACAACAGAAUGUAUUGUGUUCUCUGUCUCAUUAAUUCCUCAGUAUGUGUUGUAAAGCGGUAUGCUUCUAAUGAUAGUUCAGUUAGUAUUAAAAAGUAAUUACCAUCUGCACCAUGAUGAAAGGUACAUGUUUCUUGUACCUUAAUAAUUACUUGAAAAAUCUAACCAUAUAUAUACAUGAUAUGCAGGAUAAGCAUAAAUUGAUAAGUACACGAUAUUUUAUUAUAAUAGUAUCACUGCAUACUUUGCUACACUUCACAUGGCUUAAGUUCAACAUUCACAAUGACUUUUAUAAUAAUUUCUCCAAUAUUUUAGUCUAGUGUCUUCAUGUCAUAUAACAUGACCUGAUUUGAUGCCAAUGUUUUAAAGCAUAUUUUCUUCAUGUUUCCUAAAUUCCUGAUUUUCUAAAUACUGUGUAUCUUAGACAAGUAAUAUAACUUUCCUAAACAUAUCUUCUCACUUAUAACAUGAAAAUAAAUCCAGACAUAAAAUAGAGAAAAGGCCUAUUUUUUUUCCAAAAUCCAGACAUAAAAAUAGAGAGAAAGCCAGGUGUAGAAGAGUACAUCUGUAAUCACAGCUACUCAAGAGGCUGGGGAAGGAGGAUCCAAAAUGUGAGGCCAACCUGGACAACUUAGUAAGACCCAUCUUCAAGUAAAAUAAAAAAGGACUGGGAUGUAAUUCAGUGGUAGAAUGCCUUCGGGGUCAAGUCCCCAGUUCCAUAAAUAAAUAAACAAAUAAAUAUUACACACAGAACAGACAACACACACACACAGAGAGAGAGAGAGAGAGAGAGAGAGAGAAGUGACUACUAAAAUUCCCAGUAAAAAGCAUGAAAUAUGGUCAGUGGUGAUAAAUGAUAUCAUCAUCAUUUUCCCCAUCAUCCUUGUUUUGAGUAGUUUUGUUUUGUUUUUCAUUUUUUAACCAUUUUUAUAUAGGGGCAUUCUUUAUUUUUUUCUCUUCUUCCCUUUCAUCCUUCCUUUCUUCAUUCUUUCCAUCUUUCCUUUCUUCUUUCCUUUCUCUCUCCCAUCUCUAAUUUUCUCUCUCUCUCUCUCUCUCUCUCUCUCUCUCUCUCUCUCUCUCUCUCUCUUCCUCCCACCUUCCUUCAUUUCUUCCUUUUUAAAGUCGUUUUAUUGUAUUUUUCUUUAAUAAACAUGGCAGCUGCUCUAGCCUUCUAUCCUAAGCACAGUGUGCCCUACAUAAACACCAUAAAAUAUUUGGCUGAGGAGUGGUGGCCCAUGCCUGUAAUCCCAGCUGCUUGAGAGGCUGAGUCAGGAAGAUCACAAGAUCAAAGUGCCUCAGUAACUUAGCCAGGUCCCAAUCAACUUGGUGAGACCCAGUCUCAAAAUAAAAAAAUAAAAAGGACUGGGGAUGUGGCUCAGUGGUUAAGCACUCCUGGGUUCAAUCCCUGAUACCAAAAAAAAAAAAAAUUAAAUAAGAAUUAACUAUUGAGAAACAUAAUAUGUUAUACUUAGAGGUCCAAUUUUAGCAUUUUGUUCUCUAAUUAGGUAGGGAUUACCUAGACCACCCAGCGUACCCACUGAGUCCUCACUCCUUAGACACAAGAGUAACCUUCCUGUCGUUUUCUCACUCUCCAUGUCUUUCAUUCUACAAUCCCCCUUCUAUCUUGAUAUUCCUGACUGCUCUAUUCAGGGAAAUUUUGUCACCAGGGAAAGACAUCAUGAAAGGUGCACUUCACAAGGUGCUCCAUGCCAUCCUGACGGGUCUUGUCUGCCACCUCUGAUGCUAUUGUCUUGAAUGACAAGUCAUUAACAAAAAAAGAUACAUUUUAUUGAGUGUUUGCUACUCACCACACAAUAUGCUGAGAGUCUUACAGACAGCCUCUGAUGGACUUUGACAACAUAUUGAGGCAGAUACUACCAAUUUACACAUGAGGAAACCAGGCUUAGGGAUGUUAAGCAAAUGGCCCUGGGGUCACACAGCUGGUAAGUGAUAGGCAUAAGAGCUGAACCAGGUGUUCAUGACUCCAAAAUCCAGGUAUUACACCUAUAAAACUAAAGCUACACUCUAAGGAAAGGAAAUACAUUCGCCAUGUCACUUGAUGACUUUACUCUCAAAACAAAAACCUAGUAAGAAUGGACAGAGUACUCACAGAUUGACUUCAAACCAGAAAGGGCCAAGAAAUAACCAAUCAAGUGACCACAGACAGUUCCUACAGAGCAAAUUAAAAAAAUAAAUGUUUUCUUUAAACAAAAUUUCCCAUGAGAAUUGAAAAAUGCCCUAUGUAACCACCAUGUAGUUUACUAAAGAUACCUUAUAUUUUCCCUUCAAUCUUGAAAUGGGAAAAAUGUCAGUUUUGCUUUCAUAUUUUUUUUAAGUUCAAGAUGGUCAAAUAUUAAACUUUGGACCCUCUCACUAACUGAUAGGGCUUCAAUAUCCCUUGAACUCCUAUUAUGGUAUGAAUAAAAUGAAUUUCUAUUGUCUGUUGUUUUGUUCUAAACUCCUGUCUGUUUUUUUUUUUUUGUAACUCUGUUUUUAAAUUAGUAAUUUUCGCUACCUCAUGCAAUCUUCUAAAUUACUUUUUAGAGUGCUGGCUAUUAAUAUUUUAGGUAGCUUUGAUGUUUUACUUUAUAGUCUUCAAUUUUAUUUUACAUUUCACAGGUUCCUAGCUGCAAAUAAUCCUACAGGCAAUUUUCUCACACUGCAACUAUUCCUUGAAAGAUAUGCUAAUGCAGCACGACACUUGCAAUACUGGGGGUUAAGUUAAUCACCCAAAAUGAGUUGUAUUACUGUCAGCGGUGUAUAAAGACAUCCCAUAGUGAGUUACAAGGAAGGCUAGCUUUAAAGCUGCAUUUCAGAAAAUACCCAAAGCUGGAGAUGAACAAAAAUAAGCAUUUAUUUCAAAGUCUGUUGAGCUCAAGAAUCAAACAUUUGUUAUUUCUGGUCUCAAAGUUACCCAGUAUAAAUAAAGGGAUUCAGAUCCUUUACAAAAUUUAAUUACCAGGAAAACUCUUACAGAUCACACAGCCUGUUUCUGGGAAAGACGAACACUGCAGAGCAGUUUCUAUCUUCAUAUUUAUCUGCAGAAAAGGGAAAAAAAUUCACUAUUUUGCUCUGUUUAGCUGAACCACAUGCCAGUUCUAAGAAUCUGAGAGCAAAUUGCCAUCUUUGACUCCCUCCAGGGAAGUGACACUUGUAGCAGUGUCACAGCCUAGAUGUGACUUUGGCAGAAAUCAGGAGGCAGUGCAUUGGCUGCGCAUGUGUUCAUCUUUCUCGCUUCUGUUCAGCUUUUACUUGUGCCUUAAGUAAUGGGUUAAGUAAGAGACUCUGGGACCUGCCAAUUAUAUGACUUUUUCCAGUCUCUGAAAUCCAAGUCGCUCGUAAUACAGGUUUGUAUCAACCUCAUGGACAACAAAGGCACAUCCAGCCACUCCAAUUUAUGGCCCCUAAUACUCCUUAGUCUUAAAGUACUCAGCAGCACCUUACCUAUGCUCAGAUUCAGAGACACUGUGCAACUCUGUGUCUUUGCUUCUAUAUGUAGAAUACAUAGAAAGUCAAGAGCAGCCAUCACCAUCAGCUCUGAUGCUUCUCAGCGGCCUCAUGUGCACUGCCAUAAUGUUUUUUCCGAAUGGGCAGCAGAUUAAGGACGUUCAGAAGGCUUGAUCCUCCCUGUCAAAGGGUACUUCUCAAUAGACUGGAUGCUCAGAGGCAACUGAGGUAGAGUUCAUAGCUGCAUUUUAAAUAGCAGCACGUCUGCACUUACAAUAAUCUAGAUUUCUCUUUUCUGUCUUGCAAAAAUAUUGAAAUAAGAUUUAGUUUCAAUGUUGUGAUAUGCAUUUUUAUGAGAGAAGAAAUAUAUUGUGAAAAGUGUAUUACUUCACUCAAGAAGAUCAAGAGAGCGGGGAAGGAAUAAAGGUUUACCAGGAACAUAGUAUUUAUUUGCCAUGCAUAUUUGAUAUGAGUUCAUUAAAUACGCAAUAGAAGUGUCAACAUAAAGUGUUGUUUAGAUCAAGCUAUGAAAACAAACUGCCCUGGUAUUAACAUUGGAAUAUACUAAGCUGUGGUUAAAUAUAAGCCUUAUUCACUGUACAGUGAAGAAAUAUUUUAUUGACUAUUGUUAAGUAACCAUCUACUUAGCCUAAUUGAAUUUGCCCUUUAUUUAUCAAGACUGAUGCAUGGAAUACUGUAACGGUGUGGUUGGCACUCUUAACAUUCCAUCUAUCUGCCAGCCCAUGGAUUUUCUUUUCCCACCCAUUGACAUUCAGUGAUUAGCAAUUAUCACCAGUCCAUGCCUAAUUUGAGGGUAUUUUCUCAGUCUCACUGGACCAUUGCCAAAGCUCUAUCCAGUGAGGAAGCAAAGCACAGAGGUGUCUUUUUAGGGAACACUUGCUGUAGAACUGGAGUGCAUCUGACUGUACUGCAGCAUGAAAAUCCACUCAGUGGCACAAUGAAGGGUUUCACAAGACAGAGUAGACUCAUUGGGGUCUCUUCUGGGACAUGAAAUCUGAACAGAUAUUUUGGAUUAAAACGUGGAUACCUCUGGCAAAAGUAGAAGGCUCUGUAGCCCUCCUGGCACAUUGCCUUCCUGACAAUCAUUAACAUAAUGCAGAAGUACGAAGGUAGGAGACUAUUAUUAUCCUCAUGUCUCAUGCAAUAUGUAGGAAAGCUAAACCUGCUGUAAUUAAUACUGACCCUUUCUUUACUGGUAGCUCUCAUGGCAAUUUUUAGGGAGAAUAUCAGGAGAACAAAUGUGUAGCUGAAUUUCUUAAAACCUAGGCUUUCGCCUUACAAAUGAUAUUUGCCACUGUUCUGACCUUAAUCCUUCAGGGUAGUGGCAAUAAAGGCCAUGAAUACAGAUGUUGCCACCAGGAUGUAUAAACACUGUAGAAGCAUAAGGAAAACAUUAGGAUUUAUUCCAACUCAUUUCUAACAUGUUUAAACCCUGUACUCAAAGAUCAUUUCCCUGGCUAAAGCUAACUAUAAAAAAAAAAUAGAUGUAUCAAAUAUUUUUAAUUUUAAUGUCAUAUUUUGGGUUAUUGUUCUGUGAUUUCUGAAGCAUGUAUCAAUGGACUUAUUGACAUAAAGUGAGAGUCAUUAAUUUCUAAAUAGUUCAUAAAUAUAAACGGAUGUACAUAUCCUUUUGUUUCCCCCUACUCAAACUUUUAGGCUAAAGGGGGUGAGUGAAGAACUGUUUUUCAAGGUCAAUGUUCAAAAAAAGAUGCUAAUGUUAACUCUCAAAGGUACCAAUGAAAUGUGAUUCAAACUGUAUAGUUUCAUUUAUCUUUCAUUUCUCUUUAAUUAUUUUCUGCAAAUUUCCAACUGUCAUCUUGAGUAACUCCAGAUUAAAAAGUUUCCUGUCAUAGCUGGACUCUGACAAACACAAAGAUUAAAAUAUGAAGGUUCUCUCUCUAGAAAAAAGACAGAAUUUUUUCGCCAGAAAAACAAGGCAACACAAAACUUACCCCAGUGGUUUCAAUCAAGUCACCCAAUACUUUGCGCAAAUUUUUUUUUCAACAAACUUACACAGAAAACACUUGAUUUACAGUCUCUUUGGACUUAAAAUCUCAGCUAACAAGUGAUUCCAGUAAACAGCCAAAUGAUCUCCAAACUGGACAUUUUUGUAUUAAAUGAGGUUUUCAUGGAUAUUUUAGUUGAUGCACCAAUGUUAUGGUUUGGAUAUGAAAUGCCUGCCAAAAGUUCAUUUGUGAGAAUGCAAGAAGGGUUAGAGGUGAAAUAAGUGGGUUAUGAGAACCUUAACCCAAUCAGUGAAUUAAUCCCCUUACAGGAAUUAACUUGAGUGGUAACUGAAGUCUGGUAGGCUGUGGUUGGAGGAGGAGGUCUUGGGGCCAUGCCUUUGGAGCGUAUGUUUUUUAAUCUGGCAAGUAGAAUUUCUCUGUCUGCUUUCUGAUUAUCAUGUGAGCCACUUGCCUCUGCCACAUUGUUUCCUCAUGAUAUGCAGAUUCACCUGGAAUCCCCAGAAAUGGAGCUGACUGUCUUUGGACUGAGACCUCUGAAACUGAGAGCCCCAAAUAAACUUUUCUCCUCUAAAAUUGUUUUCACCAGGUCAUUUAGUUACAGCAGCACAAAGGAAACAACUACUAAAUACACAAAAUUCUUUUCACUAAUAAAAUUGGUCAAAUGUUACAGAAUUCUUAGAUGCUUUUUGAGAUAUAUUAAGAAUAUCAAGAUUUUUUAGAUGCCAAGGAAUUGUAAGGUUUCAUUACCACAAUCUAUGUCCCACGCUUUUCUCCUUCCUUUCUCAAUAUGUAGUUGGCUUUUCUGUGGCUCAGUUUUUGACAUCACCAUGAAUUCAGGCAACAAAGCCACCAAUACCAAAGUCAUCCUUGACAACUUCCUCCCUUGUCUCCUUGGGCUGCUCCCUGUGUCUUUUCCCUUCAACCUUUCCCCUCCAUUAUCAUCUUGCUAAAAUAAGCGCCAACUAUGGUUGCAACGAAAGGUGGUAUAGUGAGGAAGAUGGAAUGUUAGCGUGAUGAUAUCACUGAUCACUUUUUUACUUGUCAUUAAUGUUGCAUUGUCUAUAUAGCUUAAAACUAAAAUAGGUUUCUGAGUCGAAAAAUUAUGACUUUGGAUGUAACACAGUCAGGAGUCCUUGGACAAAUUAUUUGAUCUUUCUAAGCAUUAGACUCCUUCUCUGUAGAAUGUUCAUAAAUUGAAAUCCUUUAACCAAAAACUCAAUUAAAAAAAAAAAAAACUCAAUUUCUUGUAAUUUCUUGUUAAGCAAGUUCUUACAUGGACAAUCUGCACUUAUCUUCCUACACUGUUUCGUGAAAACAAUCCUUAUGACCUAUCUUUGCUCUUGACCUCCACUCCAAUAUUACUCUUGACCAUGCCAAACAUUAAUUUAAUCCUGGAUUCAAUAGAUAUAUUUUAGCCACAUUUUAGAGAAUCAUACUCAUGGAAUUUAGCUUUACUGGUUUCUCAAUGAGUAAAGAAAUGUACUAUUCUCUCUUCUGGUUCUCCAUAUCAACUUGAAAAUUCCCUCUUUAUAUUCUUCAUGGGCUUCUUUUAUUUGAAUCCUGAUUUUGUUCCCCAAGGUUCUAUUCUUGACAAUCAGUUUUCUCUUUCUACCUUCUCUUUGGGCAAUCCAUUCCAGUGAUUCUAAAGACUUAGGUAUGCUGGUGAUUCCCAUUACAACAUCCUUCACUUUUCCUCAAAGUUUCAAAUUCACCUCUUCUCCUGACUAUUGUAGGUAUAAUGUGGGUUUUCUCCUGACUAAAGUGGUAGAUCUAAAAUCAAGCCUGUUGGGCAGGGUGGUCCACGCCUAUAAUCCCUAUGACUAGGGUGGCUGAGGCAGGAGGAUCACAAGUUCAAGGAGAGUCUCAGCAACUUAGUGAGACCCUAAACAUCUUGGAGAGAGCUUUCCAUAAAAUAAAAAAUAAAUAAAUAAAAAGGGCUGGGGAUGUAUCUCAGUAGUUAAGAGCACCUGGGUUUAAUCCCCAGUACAACAACAAUAAACAACAACAAAAGGAAAAAAGAAAACAAAACAAACAACAACAACAAAAAAACAUGACCAUGUGGGCUUCUAUUUAAAAAAUUUCCUACCAACCUUCAGUCUUUAAGCUUUAUUAUCCAUCUGUGUUUUGCUUUGCCUUCUCUGCUUAAUGUAUUCUUCCUACUUUACAACUUCAAGAUUUAUCCUUCAAAAUUCAGAAUGAAGAAUUUGUUAAUAAAUUUCCAAUCUAUGUUAAAGGAUUUUUUCCCCCUCCCGUCUCAUUGACAAUAAUAAAUCAUAAUUUUGUUUCAAUUUUCCUUACUGGAUGCAAAUAACUCAGGGACAGGAUCUUUCCCUUAAUCAACUUUGUACUCUCAACAUCUUUAAUAUACACGUGGAAAUGAAUCCGUAAUGAUACCAAUUUCUGUCUUGGGCAACUGAUCAAAAAAUAAAUAAUCAAUUAAUUAAGGGAAGCUAUAGGUAUGUGGAGCCAGAUUAUUGCGUUCAAGAUGCCAAGGGAGAACUAGCUGGGAAAGUCUAGGAAGGAGAGGAGUAUAUGGGUCUGAGUCAGCACUCAGUAAAGAUCUGGGCUAGAGAUAAAAGUUGAUAAGUCAUAAUUAUAUAAAUGGUAAUAGGGCAAUAAGGAAAUUUGAAUUGUUUUCUGUUUAAACUUCCAUGCUGAAAGCUAAUUAUUUAGACCUUCUGCUUUAAUCAGAGUUGCUUCUACAGAAAAUCAUUUUAAUUAACUCAGAUAUUCAAGAAUCUGGAUGCCUGAAACAUCCCUUGCUCUACAUUAAGUAACACAGUUUUGAUUUCAACUAGACUGCUAUAUUAUUCUGUUGAAAACGAGAAUUACCCACAUGAAGCUAUUAACAAUCACAGCAAAACAUAUAAACCAAAGGUUGAAUUAAACAUUACUGAGCUCUAAAAGGCAUGACACAAAAGAACAAGUGCUGCUUCGUGGUGUUAAAGGCGAACAAUAUGUCUGUAAUUCUAAUGUACUCGUGACUUCCAAACCCAUGUUCCUAGGGGUUAUAAUAAAAUAUUAAUUCACUCAUAUAUGCAAAGGCAUUGUAAAAUUGUCCAGCUAGGUAAUAAAAAGAUUCAGAGCAUUAACUAGAUAAGCAUUUCUUUUCUAGUUACAAGAACUAUGAACAGGAUGCUGGGAACUUAUAAUGGGUACAUAAUUCAUUUAUUUUGCAAUAUUCUGUAAAUGUUUCUAAGAACUACUGCAAGUCAUUAUUGCUAUGUGCACUGGAACUAGAGAAGUGAAGAAAACACACACAAAUUCGUGUCUUCCUGUCUUCAGUGAGGAAGGCAAGUAUUAAAAUAAAUAAAAUAGGAUAUUCUGGAAGGUGAUAAGUACUGUGAGGUAAAAUGAAGCGUGAAAGAAUAUGGAAUGCUGGGUGAGAGGGCAAUUAACUUGAAAUAGGUUAGACAGCAAGGUUCCAAACUUUAACAACAAUUUGAAUGAAGUUCAAGAGUAAGUGCUGUGAAUACCUGAGAAAGAAAAUUUCAGGCAAAGGUAAAGACUAGGAAAUGGAAAAAAAAUUCCUAAGGUGUACAGGAACAGAGGAAAGAUUUUGUGUCAGAAUAAAGAAAGCAAAGAGGAGGUAACAAGUGCUCCUAUCAUGUUAAACUCUUAGACCUUGCCAAGGACUUUGGCUGCUGUGAGAUUUUAUUCUCAGUGGAAGCCACCGGAAGGAUUUGAGCAGAAGAAUGUCAGGAUUGAACUUGGUUUUUUUUUGUGUGUUUGCAGAUUCCACAAUGGCUUCUGUACUAAGAGUAGACCAUCAGGGCACAAGGACUAAAACAGGGAGAAAAAUGAGAAGACACUUGUAAAUACCCAGAUAAAAGAAGGUCCUGUCUUACAGCAGGGUGGUAUCAGAGGACAUGGCACAAAGUGGUCAGAUUCAGAAUAUAUUUUCAAGUUAAAGCCACAGCAUUUUCUAAUAGCUCAAAUGUGAAUUAUAGGCAGAAGUGAUGCUUCUAUAAGGAUGACAAUGUUUUGGGCAUAAUAAAUUGGAAUAAUAAAGUUGUCACUAAGUUGGAGAAGAUAACAUGAGCAGCAGGUUUGAACCUCUAAGGUGGUGGAAAGCAGUUCUAUUCUGGGCCUAUUUGAGAUGCCUGUUAAACUUUCAAAAGGGGAGGUAGGUAGGUGACUCUUUAGAUAAUACAGUCUGAAGUUAAGAAUAAGGUUUGACUUAGAGACAUAAAUUUGACAGUUAUCAAUCUAUAGAUGGCAAAAGUAAAACAGAAGAUAUGAAAUAAUGGUCCAGGAGAGUCAGAUAAUAAAGGGACUCUGAAAAUUUAGUCUUAUUGCCUAGCAGCAAAAAGGACACACUUCAUCUAUUUGAUCAUAAAUUUAAAGUGAAACCAGAAAGCAAUGCCCAAAUGUGGGUAAAAUAUAGGCAGAGGGGGAGAUUUAACCAGGGUUGUACUUUGCCAGCUGUGCCAGCUGUUGAGAUGCAAUUUGGAGAGUGAAAGAUUUAUUGGGGAUUAAUUUUUCUGAAAUGAAAGGAGAUCCAACAGACCGACAAAUACCGGAGUGGAAUAAGAAGCUCACUAGAUAAAUCCUGUGCUGGAUGAACAUGGCUACACCUUGGUACCAGCAUUUUGCUCAGUCAUUGGCUGUGACUAUUCCAACAAGUUAUCAGCAGACCCAAAGAUGUUGAAAGCUGGAGGCUUAUCAGCUUGUCAGCUAACCAUUGCCCAACACUCCAUCCAAGGAGUAUCUGAGCAAUACAUCUCCCUGAGUCUAUGAUCUCAGCCCUUCCACAACUGAGAAAGUUGAGGAUGAAUUUAGGAGAUGAUUUUCUUAAUUAAACAUUAUUUUCUGCCUAAGGAGGAAAGAAAAAACAUAAGGUGUGUAAAGCACAGGGAAAAGAGGAGAAUCACUGGAUAUAGGUUCCUGCAGGACUUAAAAGAUUGUUGGAGUCAAGAUACUAGACAGGUUGAGCUUAAAAAAAAACAAGAAGUGGAGGUCACUGAGGGGGAAUGCAUGAAACUAGGAUUAUGGAAAGGCGUUUGGUAACGAGAAGGUUGAAGAUGUGACCCUGGAGUGAAUGACUGGCUGUGGUUGGGGGAGCCAUUUUCACUGCAGGAGGAGGUCAAGAGACUGAGCGGCUGCUGUGUAGAAGGAUCACCUAUGAAAAUAUUAAAAACCACCAGGAGUUAUGACAGAAUUGGAUUAGAAGUAAUGCACUGGGAGCAAAAUCUUCAAGUAAUAAAAGGGGGCCAUCUAGGAAUUGGCAGGUUAUUGCAACAAGGAGGGUGGUGGUAGAAAAAUAGAUGACAUGAAAUUCAGAGUUGGGAGGAUUUGGAGAGGUGAGAAAAUGGCAUAGAGACAGAAAUAUGGGAGAAGUUAAAACAUCUAGUGUAGCUCUAGCACAGCGUGUAAGUAGAAUGGGAAGAAAUUAACACCCCCUGGGGAGGUCUGCAUUGCUGAGAGCAAGUUUCCAUUUAGAGCAAGAAGGUGAGACUGCGUUCCAAGAAAGUUCUGGUGUUCUUGACUGAAGAACCAUUCCAUGUGCGUUUGUGUUUUUGUUUGCUGAAUGUCCAGUGGAUAUCAGGGUCAAUUCCUUAUAAUUUCCAGGAGUCCCUUUAUCACAAUUUCCUGAAAUGAUGUAAGGGUGUGAGAAGGCAGGACAUGAGGUAUGACCUGGGAUUCUGAGGCUUUUUAUGAGCACAAACAGAAUGAGAAACAAAAAGCAGGAUUUGAUCUGUGGAUCUCAGAGUAAAUGACAGUGAUGAGGUCAAAAUGAUGAAGAGCUGGGAAAUGCGUUUGUAUCUGGGGCACUGAAGCCUAUAUUCUGAACAUAGAGGAUAGCUGUUUGGUGUUUGGAGAGUCAUACUAUGAGCAUCUGUGUUUUUGAUUUUUAGUACUACUCUAUAUGACAUAGACACUUUUUUCACAUAAUUUACCUCAAAUAACUGCUCAAAAGAACUGUAAAGAGGACAUUUUACAUGUAUGAUAAAACUGAAAUUCAGAAAGGUCAAGUGACUUAUCUAAAAUCACAGCUAACUCAUAGAAAAACUAGGAUUUUACAUCAGGCUUCUCUGACUUAAAGCCUGGACUAGGGCCACAAUGAAACCUUUAUCACUCAUCUUACAGAAGGCAUCCAUACCAGUCUGCAUUCAGUAUUUUAUUCUUUUGAAAAUAGUUGUCAACUUUUCAAAAUAUGAUAUCACAUUGUGGUUGUUACAUGCAUGUACAAACAUGUUACAUAUGAUUACAUAUUAUCCCAUAUAAUCAUUUUGAUCACUUAGCUCAAGUCUACAAAAGUUUUUUUUUUCCUAAUUCCCUAUGUACAUUUUUUUCCCCCAGACUGAAGCCAAUAUGUCAUUGAUCACUUUAAAUUUAUAGACUAAGGCAGCAGUUUGAUGGGAUUGAAUAGGGAAUUUGAGGGCCAAAUCACCACCCAGAUUCCCAUCAUGAAUUAAAAAGGAACUCCACAUAAUAAAGGCAGCAGAUCUGGAAUCAAUAAGCAAUGGUAAAUCCAAAGGCCCAGAUUCCAUAUAAGCUAUACAUUUCUCAUCCAUGUCAAACUUUCUGUUAAAAAAUAUACGUACUCCCACGAAUUGUGGGUUGGCUAAGGAAUAACAUUUAUGUUAAACUCACUAGUUGUUUUGUUAAAAUUAUAAUAAACAAUAGAUUUGAAUAGUAAUAUACCAGUCCAAAAACUGUAAGCCAAAUAGUUCAUUAUAAUAGUUCAUUAUAAUCAUAAAGAUUUCAGAUAUAAACUAUAUGUCCAUUUUAUCUAAUGUAUAACUUAUGUAUUAUAGCCAUGCUCUCUUGUCCAACACAAUAAGAAGAUUACAUUCAGUUAUAUUUAAUGAGAUUACUUCACUGUCCUUUUUUAAAAAAUAAAAAUUAUUUUUAAUGUAGCAUUAAAAUAGCUGCCUUAGAAAUGAUGUGAAUUUUUUGGCUUGGCCAACAAAAGCAUCCAAAAAUAUUUGUCAAACCUUGUUUCCUAGGCCUUCUCAUCCUUGUAAGUGCCAAUCAGCCCAUUAGGCUGGCGAUGAGAAGGAAAAAGGGAACUUGAAUCACAAAGCAUACUCGGUCCCCAAAGAGAAUGAACACUUGAAGAUUGAUAUUUGCCAUAUUUCAUGGACCCCACGAUACACACUUUCUAAAAUCUGGAUGUCUUUUUUAUAAUUAAAGGAAUCCAUAGAUUUGAUACAACUUGCUAAAUUACAUUAAAUGUAUUUUAAUCUAUCUGGCAUGGCAAAGCAAUUCAUACAGGAUAAAAUGCCUCCUCCACCUCUUCCAGACAGAUCUGUAGAAUGACAAUGUAAGCGAGAGCAGCAGAAAAUCCUAACACAAAAGUCUCUGUGUAUCUGCUCCAAAUAGGAAUAUCCUUUAUGCAAAGCAAAUCCACAUGUAAAGAAAUGACACGUGUCCAGUCUGAGUGAGCACCAAAUAAGAAGACAUGCAAAGUAUUUACAAACCAGUGAGCACCACAAGGUUCACUUCUCUCUGGUGAAAUCCUAGAAAGGCAAUUCACCCAACAGACCCAAUGGAAUCUUACUAUUUUAAAAGAUCGAAUUAAUAAAGUGUAAGUCAUUAUUGUUGCCAAAUAUGGCUCUGAAUAAUUUUGUCUAUUGUAUCUCAUUUAAUUCUAGCAACACUGUGAAGUAUUAUUAUUCAGUCUACACACAUAGAAACAGAAGCUCUAAGAGGUUCAAUCACUUGUCCCUAAAACCCUCAUAGAAAAUAAAUAGUUACAAUUUGAAUCUAUCCCCAGGAUGCCUUUGCUGCCCUAGAACUCUUGCGCAUCACCAGCAAGAUGGCUUACCCCAUAAGCAUGAAAUAAGCCAUCUUUCUGGUGAAAUACCAAUUGCAGAAUUUGAAAUUAGAAUCUAAAAAUAAAAAAUAAAAGCAAACACAAAUAUAGCAUACUUUAUGUACUCCCUUAGACAGUUCUCAUGCCUCUUUAAUACAACUCCCUCUGUGCACAGAACUGUAGUGGGUUGUAAUUGCCAUGAUAUGGAGAACACUAGUACCAGAAAAAAAGACUACCUCAUUUAUGGAAUAAUUUAGAACAGUUGUUCUAAAAUACUAAAUUAUUCUGAGAAAGCAAAAUAAUAUGUCCAACAAAGAAAUUUCUGUUUUUCGACAGGCUCUCUGGCACCUUUUUAGUAAUAAACCAACAUCCUCAUAAUAUCUUCCAUUUAGGGAGUGCCCAUUAUAUAUGACAUGUUUUCCUCUUAAUAAUUUUGUUGCUUAAUCCUCAUGGCAAUGAGAUUGAGCCCAUCAUUAUCUUCCUUUUUAUAGGUGACAAAGUGAAGGAGAGAGACAUUAAGUAAUUUGUCAAAAAUGAACUGACCAUCAUAUCUAAAAAUUGGACUUUCAAACCUUAAAAUCUGUUUUCUUAACCAUUGCACUCUACUCUUUUUGGGGCCCUCUGAAUUGUCACCGUGUAAUUUCAAGACACAAAAACCAUAACCUGGAUCUGUGGCUCAGCUGCUUGGGAGGCUGAGGUAGGAGGAUUGAAAGUUCAAGAUCAGCAUGGGCAAUUUAGUAAGAUCCUGUUUCAAAAAUGAAAAUUAAAAAAGACUAGAGAUGUAGCUCCAUGGUAGAGUGCUCCAAGUUCAAUCCCAGGUACGGGGUGGUGGUAGGGAAGGCAAAAGGCAAUGACAUUGUAAAGCCAGGAACUGAGGUGAAGGGUAUAGCAAUAACUAUUAUCAACUAUUUCUGCCUGGACCAAAUUUUUCAGAUGGCAUGUUUCGUAUACUAAAGGCAAAUUGUGUUGCCAGAAAUGAGUCCCUAAAAAGGUAAGGGUAUUAUGGAAAAGAAGAGGUAUUUAUCUGGGGAAAUGAGUUUUUAAAAAUAUAGCUUAAGCAACUUAAUUUUUCAAUUCCUUGAGUUUUAUAGUGAAGAUUUAAAUAAGUUAUAACAUUCAACAUUCUGAGGUUUUGAAGAACAAAAUUACUUUUUAAAUUCCUUUGGAAGACAUGAAAGAUUGUAGUGGAUUAAUAUUUUUAAUGAUACUGAACAGAUCACACUAGGAAUUUAAGAACUCUAAAAAAGAAAUUUCCCAGUACCAAAUACUUGGGCAAAUUUUGAACUCUCCUUUCUUUGAUGGUAGUUAUGACUUAACACCAAAAUAUUUUGCUUCUAUGUAAGCAAAGAGAAAAAUAGUUUUAAACCUAUUGGCCAAAAUUAGAAAAACAUGACAAUCCUGAAUGAGCAGUAUAUACUUGUGUAGGGGCAAAAAUAAAAGAGAAAGAUGGGUGAGGAGCAUGGCACCUCUAUGCACAGGUCACCUAGGGACACACACGUGGUUUCUGAAAUAUUUGUGAAUUUUCAUCAUUGGCACAUAUAAUUCAAUAUUAAAAUAACGUCUUCAAAAUAAAUGCGAUUAUUAAGUCUAAUUUUGAUAGAACAUUCAAAAGAACCAGAAAUAUCAAAGAUCAAAUUAGAUUAAUGACUUAAACUAGUAAUUUUGACAAUCCAAAAAAAAAAAAAAUGCCAGUACUAAGAAAUCAGAUAAUGUGUGUCUGAGACCAGAUCCUCAUCACCAUGAGCCAGCCAACUGUUAGAAAUCUCUUCGUUGUUGCUUAUUUUCCCCCCUCUAGUCAUAUUUCAUAGAUUAAAGUGAACACUUAUCUCCCAAUCUAUUUAUCCGCAUUUUCAAUAAUUUGCAAAUUGUCAGGAGUAAUCAAAUGAUAAUGACACAAAUGUGUUCCAGAAACACACACACACACAAACACACAGAAAGAGAGAGAGAGAGAGAGAGAGAGAGGAAGAGAUAUAAAGAGAAAGAAUCUGCAGACUUUUUCUAUCAUUUUGCCCUGUGAUGAUUGCUACAAGGAUCAAUCCUCCCCAAAGCCCUUCUCUACUCUCCACAACAUGUUGCCGGAAUCAUUUCUGGUAAGCUGAGGUGUUGUUCCUAGCAUCAAUGAUGUCACUGUGUUGCUGCCAGUUUGCCAGAAUUAUUUUGACUCCCACUUUUGUCAAGAGACUCUGACCCAAGAGGACCCAAGAGAGUCUAUUAUAAAUCCACGUACCAUCUCAAAUCACUGGAAAAAGAAUGAAGUUGAAAAUCACCAGUUUUUAUGCUGCAGAUAGUUUCCCAAUUUCAAUUAAAAACAACAGCUGAAUAUUAAAAACCCUUUUCCAACUUGUGGCAAAUCUAUUACUCUCCUUUAACAACCCACUACGUCUUUCUACAAAAUUGCAGCUUGUAAAGGGAGGAGACGGGAAAAUGGAGGGCAGGCUCCGAGCUGCCUUAAUUUAUCACAACUUGUUUUGUACAGACAUGCAGGAAGGGAGCGUGGGCAGGAGGCCAGGCAGGAGGCAGCCUAGUGCCUCUGACGCCCUGAAGAGCCCAAGCCACCAGCAGUCCUCCCUCCUCUGCCACUGGGCUGGAUAACCACAAUGUGUUCUUCAUUUGUCUUUUUCCCAGAGCACCACUGAACUGGAGGAGUGGAAAAGAGUGGAGAAACCUGGACAUUUUAUCUCUGGGAAUUUUUCAGUCUAGAAAUUUAAGAAUGGUGUUAAAAGGAAAUCUGAUCCAAUGUAUCUUAACCUGCUGCAAAAAAAAAAAGAAAGAAAGAAAAAAUUUCAUCUUUGCAGCUUCCUGCACACCAGACAACAUCUCUGUCAUUAUGUUAUGAAGGCAUCACUCUAUCAGCUGUAAGAGUGCUACUGGAGGUGACUGAUAAUAAUUAAUGUAUCUUUUCAAUUACAGCCUCUGACAAUAUUACUGAUAGACAUGCCAUGGGUAAUGUUACAUAACAAAAGACAUGUUGAAAGUAUUUUGUUAUAUGACUAUUCCAUCAUUUAUAUUUCCUGUCUCAGCCACUCUCCUUUCUCCUACCAGGAUUGAUGUAACUUGCUUCCAGUGGCAUUUUCAAAGGUCCAGUUGUACCUUUAGGACCAAAUUUUCGUGGAGCAAUGCUAAACUUGCCUGCAGAAAUCUACCUUCAUAUUUUCUCAAGAAGAUGGAUUUGACUCCAGUAAAAUUAUCACCAGUGUGGCAUGUAGAAGUUAUACUUUCUUUACUGUAGCCUGGGAUUAAGGGAGUCUGAAUUAAAUCUACAUGUUUUUUUAUGAGAGAAAGUCAACUCUCUACUUUUUUGAAAAUUUAGCUCUUAAUGUACAUUUGGCUCUCAAGGGGAAACUCAGGCAUCACCGUGUAUUUCCUAAAUUAAUCCAAUUAUAAUGAUUUCUAUAUUUAACGAUGAGCCACAAAUGUUUUUAAUCACGCUUUGUUCCCUGUGGUACAGCUUACACAAUACCAUUGCCUGCAUGCUAAAGAAUAGCAUAAAAAUACUCUUGUACACUAAUGGAAUACCUGGCAGUGUGAGGAAUUCAUCUUCAAAGAUCAAACCACUUUCUGAAAGGGCAGAAGCCACAGAUUUGGAACCAAACAAAAGUCUGUUUCACUCAUGUUUUCUUUGGCUUUCUCUACCCAGCCAAAUUGGAUAGUUCCAAUAAAAAAGUAUCCACCUUGGGGCCUAAAAUUAUACCCUUAAAAUUAACAGGAUAAUUAUCCACUCUGUAUUCCUCUUUUUCUCUGAAGAUACAACCAUUGUCUUAUGGCUUCAGGAAAAACAUUACUGAGAAUUUCAUAGAAAAAAAAGCAUUUAUCAGGGUUGGGAUCUCCCUUCAUUACCUUGAGGCAUGUUUCCAAGAAUUUGGGCCCCAGAAUUGAGAAACCAGAUAUAUGACCUGGGAUCUUCACCCCUUCAAAAAAAAAAUCAGAAGUCAUUUAAUAUCACUUUUCCAUUGUGAUUUAUGUACACUUGUGUGCAAGUGUCAUUAGAAAUGAAGUUUUACAUAAGUGGAAAUAUGUAGAAUUAAUCCAGUGUGUUCAAUAAUGUGUUUGACAUAGGUUAUCUAGGAAUUCCAGGGGUGUGUUGGGGUACAACCUUAGUCAUGCAUGCUCAAUGGAAGCCUUGGUUCUUAAACUUUUGAAUAUUCUUCAACAAAAAAAUCAUUGACAACAAUCUGGCACUGCUAUAACAAUGUACCACAAACUGAAUCCUUAUAAAUCAGAAAUGUAUUAUCUCACAGUUGUGAAGUCUACAAUUCUGAAAUCUAGUUGUCAGCAGAACUGGUUUCUUCUGACAGGUGUCAGAGGGAUGAUUCUGCUGCAUGCCCCUUUCAUCGCUUCUGAUGACCUCAGGAAUUCCUUGGUUUGUCAAGGUGCCUCCCAUGUCAUUACUUUCUCUGUGCUCUCAAACUAUCCAUGUGUGUAAAUUUCUCCUUUUUCUGUGAAUACCAGUCAUGUUGAAUUCAGACUCACUCUAAUGAUCUCCUCUUAACUUGACCCUGUACAAAGACUCUUUCCAAAUAAGGUCACAUUUAGAGAUUUUAGUUUAGGGCUUUAGUAGCUGUUGUGGGUGGGGACUGCACAAUUUCACCUAAAAUAGGAAUUUAAAGUUUCAAAAACAUCAAUGAUUUCUUCAAACAGAAUUAUGUUUUUGUUUUUUUUUUCACUACAAAACAUCAUCAGUCCUUGACUGAGUCGUAUGUGUUGAGAUGGGUGAUUUUUAAUUAACUAACAGUUGGGACAGUGGGUAAACAAGUUAAGGAGAGUUGGCAGUGGAGGAAGCAUUUAGUACCUCCUGAAGGUGAGCAUCAAAACCUCAAUCAAGGGAAGCAUGUGUGUUUUCGAUAAUUAUGUUAAACAUUAGAAUUUUGUAGCUGAAAGGAAAGAAAUUACCUGUAAUAUUAAAAAGUAAAUGCUCAUUCAAGUAUUGUUGCCUGUUAGGAAGAAGUAAAAGAUACUCAUAACAGAGGGACAUUUGGACAUACAGGUUGAGAAGGAAGACAUUGCAAACACAUGGAAAACUUCUCCAAUGUGGGUUGGGGGAGAAAGUGAGACUAGAAUCCACACAGCCAUUUCUAUGAAAGAAAAGGGACUUUUCAACACUUAAACACUACCAGUAUAAUAACAAUUUACUAAAAGUACACAUGCAUCAUUACCCCCUCUGUGAUGGGAAGCAUGAGGGUUUGGGAACUAAAUAUGAUGCACUUCAGUAAACUCAGUCUGAUCCCAUUUGGGCAGCUUAGUCUGUUCAGUAAAUGUUGAGAUUUUCAGAUUGCCUUUUCUCCCCAUUGCUCUUUGGGAUGAUGUCUGAGUUUAUAGCAACCAAGGAUGAUUCUAUGACCACAUAGAACUUUCAUACGUUGAAACUUAAUUGUCAAUGUAAUAGUAUUAAGUGUCAAUACCUUUAGGAGGUGAUUAAAUCACGAGGGCUCUGCCCUCCUGUGUGGGAUUAAUGGCUUGCAAAACAGGUUCUCACAGCAUUCACCCCCUUUGCCCUUCUGCCUUCUGCUAUGUAAGGACACAGUGUUCAAGAUGCCACCUUGAGCAAAAACUGGGCCCUCACUGGACAACAAACCUGUUGGUUCCUUGAUCUUGGACUUCCCAGCCUCCAAAAUUGUGAGCAAUAAAUGUGUUCUUUGUAUGUUACUCAGUCUCAGUAAUUUUGUUAUAGUAUCAAGAAUGGACAAAGACAGAGGCUCCCAAGCUUACCUGUAGAUCAAGGAGACCUCAGACACCUGGCAUUCUCCAGAUCAUUUUGCUAUGAUUUACUGCAAGCUCUGGAUUUUUAGCUACUAACGACUGAGACAAUUGCUGGCAUUCUGGGAUUCUGUGCAAGACUCAGCUGAUAAUUUUCAGUCACCAUUCCCUAAAAAUAAUGUCCUCCCUGUCUUGAUUCCAGUUCUCUAAUGAUCUACCAGUUUUCAUGGCACCUCUGCAUACUAUCAACAGAUGUCCGGCAACGUGUUGGGAAUAUCCACAUCUGAGCUGUCUCCUUCAAUUGGGUUUUGGCAACCUAUGGCCUCUGAGCCCAACCCAGUCUGCUACUUGAUUUUAUAAAUAAAGUUUUAUUGAAGUACAGCUAUUCCCAUCAAUACACAUGAUUGUUGUUGUCUAUGACUGUUUUUCCCCUACAUUGGCAGAUGUAAGUACUUGUGACAAAAACCACAUGUUCCACAAUGACUAAAAUAUUAACUAUCAGACUCUUAUCAAGAAAAGUUUGCUAAUCUUUGUCCUAGAGGUGUGCAGUCUUUCCUUGUAUGCCUAGGGAAGUUAUGCUAGUACACACAGGUGCAUGCACACACUCACACGUGCACACACAUACACUCACACAUAUGUUCCUAAACUUCAAAAUUUGUCGGUUUUAUAUGACACUGCUUCCUUGAAUUUUUAUUCCAUUAAAAAAAAUGAAGAGCAGAACUCACAGUAUAACCCUGUGCUUUACCUUAGUUUCCCUUUUCCCAUAUUUCACCAGCACAUGAAGAUGUAGACUUUCUACUUCCUCUUUGUAUAUCUUGUUCUUUUAUCCAUCCAGACACACUUUAAAAAUAAUAAUUCCACUCUCUAGAAUUCCAGGUCUGGAACAGAGAAAUUUAGAACAGCAUUUUCUCUGGUGAGAUUUUCUGGGUUUCACUAUUAUUACCUUGCGUUAAAAAACAGCCCACUUUGAGAUUCAAAGCACAUCGAGGACCUCUGGGUUCCAGGAAGAAACUGCUCUCUUUUUCCCUACGGCAAUAAGCUUCUCUGCUCAGCCUUGUAAGUGGAAUGCUAAAAGGAAACAUGAUUUGAGACUGACAAAUACAUUGGUUUAAUAUCACAAAAGCAGUAUCACUAUUACACUGAUGUGCAUGAUGAUGCUUUCCUGCUUCGUUGAUCCUUUAAGUGUGAGCCCAGAUUGCAGUGUGCAUACCACUUUUAAAUUCUGGCAUCAAAAUAGAAGCAAGUACAUAUAUCUGACUAGAUAGGCAAAUAGAAGCUACAGCACUGUCCUGCUCAGUUCAGCCUUUACUCUGGGUAUUAUCCCAGUUUAUCCCAACUCCAGUUCGAUGGAGAAACUCUCUCUAAAAUUAUCCUAUAAACAUCUUUGCAUUUUUUGUCAAGCAAAUGUAGUAGCCUUCUUCUGUGUCUAUUUCAACACCAGUGAGAAAUGAUCUUGCUGCUCUAAACCUCUACAUAGAAAAUUAGAUUAUCAUCUUAUAUUUAUGACAUAAAAGAAAUUUGGGGCUAUAUAAUAAAGUACAUAAACUCUUCCUUAAAUGUUGGGCAACCAGAAUAGUUAGAAUUAUUUGUUUGUAUGUGUGUAUACACACACACACACACACACACACAUAUAAUUUGAGAGCUUUUGCCUUUUGGCUGCAAGAAUGUCAUGAGACUCCCUUCAUCCAUAUAUUAUUUCAUUUAUGCCUCCCUAUCUAGUAAAGUGGAUAUUAUUAAUUAUGCUUAACAAAUAAGGAAACUGAGGCCCAAGCAUACAGCAAACAAGAAACAGAGUCAAGAUUUGAGUCCAAAUCCAUUUGGUCCUAAUUCAUACUUUCCUUUUUAGUUUAUACUGCUUGUCCCCUGAUCAAUUUUUGCGGGAACAAACUACAAUGAUGAUAGUGUUAAAAGUGAGAAUAGUAAGAACUAACUGAAAAUCCUACUUCCAAAAUUAUUAGCCUUAAUCUUCAUUAGUUACAAUUGAAAUCUGUUAGUUAGAAGAGAGCAAAGGAUAUCGUAAUGAAGAAGCAGGGGUGGGGAGAGGCAAAUGCAAGUAGAUAUGUUCCUUGGCUGGUUGCACUAAUAUCUGCUUUGGUUUGGCAAAGAACAAAGUUAAAAUCCACCAAUGGAAUUUUACUUCAUUUCUCAGAUCCCAUCAGAAAAUCUGGCACCACAGAAAUAUUUCGUUUAUUUGUCUUCAGUUUUCUGGAUUGUUAUUUUAGAACUAUUUUAACCAGGCCAAAUAUUCUAUUUGAGUCAAAUCAGUAAACUCUUUGUGGCAUUUUCAGAUAGAAGUGGCCCCUGCCCCUAAAGUGUCUUAUCCAGAGAGACUUGUUACACACUAAAAUUGCUAAACUUCUUCCUUAAGGUAAGGCCUAAAGUAUAAAUCAAGGGAAUGCUUAUCACAUUGACCUUCACAACUGACACUGUGAUAACACACCGUGAUCUUUCUGCUAUAAGGAAAGGUAUCCAAGAAGAAUCUACUGAUGAGGGAGAGGGGAGGGAAGAUAUCAUUGAGUGGAGCUUGAAUUGGAGAAUGUUCUUGACAUUUGAAAAGAAAUAAAAGGGUACCAGACUUCCAAGGACAAGGGAAUGUUUUCAUGAGAAAGGGAUGACAAUUUUUCCCUGCUUCAUAAAUUUGCCCCAGACUUGGUUGGUCUCAAGAUUUUAUUUUCCUACCACUUUGUCAAGUUAACAUGUAUUUCAUGUGUAAUUACUGCUAAGUUUAUUGGGCAAUGAUGACUAACACAGAUUCAUGGUCAUAUUCAACAGAUGGCAAUCUCUGUCCUCAUACUGUGCAUCCAAGUAGACCAGUGGUACACUGAUUGUCUAUCAGCCAGCUCUCGAAAAAAAGAAAACAAACACCCUGACUUACCACAUUUUCCAUUUUCCAUGUUAUGAAUACUUCCAUCAUGACCAAAAUCCAGCCAUCAACUCAUUGUCACUUGUAAAAUUGGAAAGAAACACGCAGGGCUGGCCCUUGGGGAAUGGUGUGGUCCAGCUUCAGCACAUCACUGCCCCACACAGUGCCCUUCCACCUCCACAGAAUUUUCCUACAAUCACUUUAGCCCAUAUUGGUUCUUUCUUUUUCUAAAUACCAGCCUGGUGCUUUAAAAUGCUACACUAUUUUAUGGUUCUAUCAUAUUCUACUUUGUAUUGUAGUUAUCUCUCACUACAGUCAUGGUUAGGAUAGGAAACAUCUGAUCCAAUUUUAGAUUCUAAGUGGCAUGGUGUCUGUUUGUGUCCAGUAUGAUGAAUGGCUAGUUUGGAGUUAGUUGUUAAACUCCUUAAGGAUUAAGAAAAUACCAUACAUUUCUUAUUUAUUUCUCAUACAGUACCUAGGAACAUGCUGGUUGUUAAUGGAUAUGUGUUGAUUGAUCUUUGACGUCAUGUUUUGAACUUUUAAAGUACUAUGACAUGCAGUUACUCUCUGUGUUUCGGACUCUACAACCAACUGAGAAGCUUGCAAAUAUUAUCGGUUUUAUUGUUUGGGGGUUCUUUUUGUCCCCUGCCCCUCAACCUACCUCAAACACAUAGAAAACUACGAACUUUUAAGCUUAGGUUCUACACAACCACUCUGGACCAAAUGCACCCAGUUCUUCCUCUUCCUUAAUCCUAAGGUCUGUUCACUGCUCAGUUCAGAUUUCUUCAGGAGGUCUGCCCCAUUGCCAUAAUUUCCCAGAAAAAGGAGAAUGUUCAUAUUCAGGUUGGGCUCUCCUUGCUGCAAAGAGAAAACUCUAGAAUCAUCACUUUUUAAAAUAUGAUAGCAGUUUGGGUUUUUUUCCUAAAAGAAUGUAGACUUCACAUAAUCAACAAACAUAUCCAGUUUGUUCAUCAUUAAAUCCCCAGAACAUAAAACAUUAAUGGCACAUAAUAGACUUUCAAGGAAUAUCAAAUGAAAGACAGUAUAACUAUAAAAUUGAAAAGAAAGACAAAAGUAAAAUACAAUGAAAUGGAAAAAAAAUAGGCAGACACUACAAUAUAAAAAAAAAUACAAAUGUAUGCCUCAGUGCGUUUUUACUUUAUAAGUCUGAAUUUAUAAUACUAUCAACAAGAAGGAAAUAAGAUUAUUAGACUGCACAUGAAACUCUGAAAUCAGGUUCUCAGACUGGUAGUUGUAAUCAGAUUUCAAUGUAAAUAUCCAAUUUAUUUCUGAGUUCCUUUUUGUUGUUGGAAUACAGAAAAUCCUGAAUUACACAAAUGACUAUUUAAUUUUUAAACUUUUACUUUGCAAUCCCAAAAGUCUUCAAUUAAACACAUCCAGAAACUUGAAAGAGGAGUAGUAUAAAAUUUGUUUGCAAUUUGAAUAACUACUAAUACCUCAGGAUUGCAUUUGAUGAAGAAUUCUCAAUAAAUGUAUGUUUUUAUCAAUAAAUGUCUGCAUACAUAAGAUACACAUAACUUGAAAUAUUAUGAGGUUUCAAUGGUAUCACUAAAGAAUCUCAUGUAUCUCAAUACCUGUUUCUAUCACAUAGAUUCAUAAGAAUUAAAUUUACUUUAUGUUGCAUAUUGAACCCAAAGUUUCAAUUUUAUUGCUAUCACCACAUAUGCAAUUGCAAAUAAGAUUAACACGGCAGCCUAGCAUUGCCAUAUUGAGAUCCUCCACUUAUUAAAAAAUAUCAGCAUAACCAUGUUUUGAGUGAGGUUUUUAUAAAUAGUGCUAUUACCAAAAAAAAAAAAAAAUCUUGUCUCAGUUGAAAAUUUGUAUCAGGACUUGGCCUUGGCAGAACCAACUAAUGUCAACUGCAAAGUGAAUUUUAGAAUUCAUCUAUUUGUCCACAAAUAAAGCUAAAAAUUCUACAUUCUAAAGAGUACACCUUAAAAAUUGGGCAAUAUCUACCUCAAAACCAAACAUGUUUUGAAAGAUGUUCAUUAAUCUGCUUAAUUGUGAGUGUUUGUCUACAUAAUAUCCCACAAUUAUUUAAGUUAAUUUUGGCAACUCUUCUUACUUGAAUCAAAAUGCCAAUAGUUUUUCCAGCCAUCACAUACUCAAUGCCAAAUUCAAUCCCAUACAUUUUUGACAACUUAUUUGAUGGCAUACUUUAAAAAUUAACAUACAAUUUAAAUAAUUUUCUUGAUAUAGGUACUUAAAUGGUUUUUCCCAUUUAUAAUGCAAAUAUAUUAUUACAUAUUACAUAUUAUUACAACACACACACACACAUACACACUUGGUUUUUAGUUGUCUAGCCAUAUCUCAACAACAACAACAACAACAAAAAUGGAUAUAAUGCAAGUAUUCAGACCUGGAAACAGUUGAAUUAUAAUGGUUUCACAUAAUUUCACUUUUUCAAACAAGCAAUUCUUCAUGAGCAGCUUCCUAAUGUUCUUUUCACACAAUAUUUUCAAGCAAUGGAAAUAAGUUUGUGUUCAUUUCUUGCUCAUCUACCAUGACUGUUGCAAAAUCAAUAGCAUAGGGCUGAGUGAGUAUUUUCCUAUCUUGAGUUUCUUUCUUACUUACAAGAAGAUAGCUUCAAAUGAUGCUAAGAUUUUUUUAUUGAGAAAUUUACAUUUUUAAAUAUAUUUUUUUCAAGAACCUUAAGUGGUUUAAAUUGCAUUAACAGUUGCUAGGAGACUCAGUCCUAUGGUUAAGAUUUUAUAUCAGGACUUCAGAGUUUGUUGGAAUUCACAGAGCAACAAACUUUGCAAAUUAUAAUUUCGAAGAUACAAUAAGGACUUUGUGUGUAGAGCACUAUAUUUGGGUCUAGUGUAACUUGUGUCAUCUGAUCCUGAUAAUACCUAUGGUAUCUACCGUGACAUUUUAUUUUCUUUUGAAACUUCCUGUUUUUAAUUAAUGAUCAGUUUCCAGUCCGAACAGCAAUUAUUUCACCUCAAUUUUUAGCAAUUACACUUAUGAGUAUAUUUAUUUUAGGCAGUAAUGUCUGACACUAUCUUUAGCACAAUAUGUCUUGACACAAGGUAUAGAGUUCACUUAUUAUUGCACAAUUGUCUAAUAAGCCAUGAUAAGACCAUGAGCUGAGCAGAUGUGCCUGUGCCUUGCCUGGUAUUUAAUUGGGCAUAGUACACAUGUGCUGAAUUAGUGAACUCACUUAUACAAUUUUACAGCAGCAGACAUGUGCAGGCUUGAAUUCAGAGAAAGACCAGAGCAAAACCUGCUCUUUUCUAAUCAACUCCACAUUUGUAGGAAGGUGAUAUAUGUGCAUAAAUAAGAAAAAGAAGCCAUAACUUGAAAUUUGCAUGAAAGCAAGUUAAAUCCAGUUCUUGAUAGUCUCUAAAGAACUAAAAAUUGGCAAAUACUGUAUUUUAGUGUUUGUUUCAGACAGGUUUUUGGAGUGUUUGUUUCAUUUUGGUAGUGGCUUUUGAAGUAAAUGAGCUAUAUAUUUUUUUUAAAUUGAAUUAAAUGUGAAGUUCUAGAAGUAUCCCACAGAGACUCGAGCUUUUACAGAAAGCAACUUAGAAGUACACAGAUUGUGAAAAAGUCCACUCCAAUAUAGUACAUUUUCAAUCUGUUCGACUUCUGGCUUCCCAAGUGAAAUCACCUCCUAAAGGAAUGGAAGAGAAAGGAAAGGAAAGAGGAAGGGGAGGGAGCAGAAAAGGCAGGAGGAAGGAGAGAGACGGAAGGAAAGAAGGUAGAAAGGAGAGGAGGAAGGAAAAAAAGGUAUACAGGAGGUGAGAAUGGGAAAAAAAGGAAAAGAGUAAUGAGAUCAAGAAGGAAGGAGAAAGAAUAAAAGGAAGGAAGUGAGAGAGGGAAGGAACAAGUUGGUACGGUGUGAUUUCAUGUUUACAGAGUCCUGAAUCUCUACUUGUACCAGUUCUUAGGUUGUCUAUCACCCACCCAAACCUGCUUCUUGUCCAAGGCUCCACAUGGUGACCUCUCCUUGCAAAUCCCCUCUGCAAUUCUCAGCAGCUUCAUAAGGUUCAAUGUGUCUUUUUAAAUUUUUUUUAAUCUGUUCUUUUUAUUUAUACAUGACAGUAGAAUGUAUUUUGACAUAGCAUACAUACAUGGAGUAAACUUACCAUUUCUGUGGUUGAACAUGAUGUGGAGUUACACUGGUUGUGUAUUCAGAAGUCAACAUAUGAAAAUUGUCUCCAAUUCAUUCUACUGUCAAUGUGUCUUUAUUCUCAGAUGACACAACAGAAGAAGCAUGAUUCUGUGCUCAUUGGUGGGCUCCUAAGAAAAUUCCUUUUUAUGAAGUUGAUUAAUCAUGCCAAUUACAAACCUGACACUUUUGGUUUUCUGAACCUAUGUCUAUAAAAAAAAUUAAUAAGACAAAACCUCUCUGAGUAACUACUAUGUGAGAGUAAGUUGAUUGUUAAGACAGUUUAUCAGCCACCAUGUUCCAAAUAAUGUGGUAAUUAAUUCUGUACAUCACCUUUUUCAAUUUUCAUAACAACAGGAGAUAGAAAAUACAAUAUGUUUCUAAAUCAGUGAAUUUCGCUUACAAACUUUAAUGGCUCAAGGUCAAAUAGUUGGUAAGAUUUAGGGAGAGAUUUCAAACUCUAUUUGUAUUAUUCCAAACUCUAUGAUAUUAAUUCUUAAAUUCUACAUCUCUUCCUUAAAACGAUCAAGUUCAGUAUAUCUCUUAUCAAUUCAUUGUCCAAGAGUAAAAUUCUUCAUCUUUUUUGGCUCAUUAUUACAGUUUUCAGUUUUUAAAGAUUUUUUCCUGUGUAAUCUUAAUUUCAUAUUUUAUCUGCAUAUUAUAGUAGUAAGGACUCAAAAACAACACAGAAACACAACUCUUUAAAGAGGUUGACAGAUUUUAAAUUAUUCUUAAAAUUCAGGAUUUUUAAAUCCUACAAUUAUAAUAGUCUUAAAUCAAGAGGAAAUUUUAUUCUGCAUGUAUGCUUCACAGAGAGAAGUCCUGAACACUUUGAUUUUGAUUGUUAAGAGAAAUCUGCUAGCCAGUAUUGAAAAAACAAAGGAACCACAGAUUACUUAAAUGUCAAUAAAUUAGAUAAAUCACUCAAUGGGAACCUAAAAAGACACAUGUGUACACAGAGACAGACAGGGCUUCCUGCAUGUGAACAUGUGUGUACACACACACACACACACACACACACACUUGGGACUCUGCUUAUCUCAGCUUCACUCAGCUUUCUUGACCACCAGAUCUCCUCCUUUCUGCUUCUUUAAUCCGGGAAGAGCUUUCUAAAUGACCUCCUCACAGUAGAACAUUGCCAAGGUUAGUGAAUUGAUUCAAAUACUCCCCAUUAUCUCCACAAAGCCAGCAGUCAGAGACGCUGUGAGUCACUUUGUUCCUUCUCAGACAUCCUUUACACAAUCAUUUGUAAGCAUUUUCCACAGUGCUUCUUGUUAGGUAGAGAUUGACCUCUUGAAACUGAUCAGAAGUAGUCAAUCCUUAGAGCUCCAGUUAGUAACUGUGCCUCUGCUUUAGUUCAAAUAUUAAUAUGAUGAUAUCUUAAAACUGAGAAGAUUUUGUCCAAACCCCUCAUUUCACAGAAGGAAAAACCUAUGGCUACAUUACAUCCCAGAGAAGUAAAGUGCUAGAGGUGAUCAAAAUUGCCCAAUGAAGAACCUAGAAUUAGAUUUCCUUGCUACAGGCAGAGCUAAUGUAUUCAAAAGUCCAGCACUUCAUACACAUCGCAGUGCCUGUGGCAUGCCACCCACGAGGCUGACAUGCCAUCCUUAUCGUUAAUACAAAUGUCCAUAAUCUGACUCAUGUAUUAGCUCUUUUAUCAGACGACCAACUGGCAGCUACUUGAGCAAAUGCAUUCUGUGUCUCAUUUUGUAAAAAUGAUUUUAUCUUUCCUUUAUUAAUCUAUGAUGGAUACUCUUUCACACUCAUAUUGCUUUGGCAUGAUACACUCAUGCUGUUUUAUGAAAAAAAAAAUCCAUACUUUAGAAUAGACUAUUAUGCAAUCUUGAUAUAACUAAUGUCACCUCAUAUAAUGAAUGAGUUAAUAAAAUGCACAAAACGAUUUCUUCUCCUCCUCACACUCUGCAUACCCUCGUUGAGGCUGCUACAAGUAGACACAAUAUAAUAAUUAUUAUGUUCUAUUGUCAAAAUAUAUUGAAGGCUUAACAACUACUGAUGAGCAAAUCUCAAUAGGGUCUGAGUUACAAACUCUUUAGUCAAAAAUAAAUAAAUAAAUGAACCUCACUGAAGUAGACUUCUCAUAAAAUCCUCAGGGUUCCUUAAGUCUCCACUGAGAGAAAUAUUCCAUACUAACAUUCUUUCCUUCUAUAUUCUGGCAUAUAUGGUUAGGACCAUAGCCCAGGCUAUGAGUUAUUAGCUAAAUUCAUUUCUCUCCAACCUCUCAUAGUUAAAACUUGUGCUUCAGUCAACAAUCCUAACACAGCCUCUGGUCUUUAAUCUUUCAGAAGAAUCUUAUUUUUUUCAAUACUCAGGCCAAUACUUUUCUGGCAUAUAUCCCAGCUUUUUAUGGGCUAUGUCUCAUAUCUGAAACCAAAUUUUUCCUUCCAUCUUUUAAUAUGGUCUUUCUUAAAUCCUGUGAAGGAUAAUUUAUGCUAUUUUUCACAAACCACUAAUGUUCAUUCAAGUAGAAACAUUUUCUAAACUAAUUAGUGUAUAUGGAACAAGAAUGGGAAAUUAUCUUUUAAAGAGUUGGAUCCAGGCAGGUCAGGUUUUAAUUUCAUCCUGUUCCUGGAUCAAAUAUUAAAUAAUACUGUUUUUCAGGCUUCAUGUGGUGAAAAGACAACAUCAUAAUAUGUACUUCAUAGUAAUAUCAUAAAAUAUCAUAAACUGGACGUGUUGCACCACCAAAGUCUUCUAUUUCAUCUUAUCCUUCGUGUUAUCUUUCUAGAUCCUUCUCUGUAACAACUUUUCUGUGCUCCUUCCCAUUCAUUCAUUAGCAAAUAUUUAUGACCCAAAAACUAUGUCCACACAAUUGUCUUCAGACUCAACUUGGGGUCUGUUCUGUCUGCAAAUAUGAGUAACUUAUUGCUCCCAGAGAGCUCAGCCAUUCUCCUUGGGGACUCAAACAUUUCACCUGUUGAUUAAAUCUUGAGAGAACUUUGAGACUUAGCUGCAAUUAUCAUUUAAGACCCUGCCUCAGGUAUCCCGCUCUUGGCGUGGGAAGGCAAUGGCUUUCUACCUGACAAGUCUCUGUGAAGCACAGCUCUUCAUUCUUACCUUCCACACCAAUCAUCCAGCACUACAUUCCGCAUGCCCUAACUGGAAGCGUGGAAAAAUAUGGACUGGUCCUCUCUACCCCCUACCUAAGUGAAGUCCUAUCUUCGUCUAAACAAACAAAAUUCUCAUCCUCUAUUACUUUAUAAGAUGUCUGUACCUCUUUCUACAGUUUCAAAUAAGUCUUCUCUGCUUUGAGUUUUACACCCAAACUUGCUGAGUUUUCCAUCUUCUUGCUAUCUUGCCAUCUCCCUUCAAAAAAGAUUGAAAAAAAAAAAAAAAAAACUAGGCACUUCUAACUCCGGUCUCAUUCUUGCCAAACCUCUCCUUGCACAAGGAUCCAAUUCUCAGCCUGAAGAGAUGUCCAUUUCACAAGUCCUGGAAGCUCUUUUACAUCAUAGCCUGAGUUUUAUCUACAGAGGCUUAGCAAAAACUUAUAACCGAACCUACUUCAAUCUACACUCAUUUCUCUCUAGGCCUCCUGGUUAUUGAGGAAUUCACCUGGUGAAUAUCUUGUGUUGGAUUGCCCUGUACAUUAGUUUUUCAUCCCCACGAUAAAUACCUGAAAACAUCAACUUAGAGGAGGAAAGAUUUAUUUUGGCUCACUGUUUCAGAGGUGUCAAUUUAUGGUUGGCUGGCUCCUGUGCUCUGGGUUUGAGGUGAGGCAAACACAUGGUGAAAGGAUGGCAGAGAAAAGCUGCUCAGCUCAUGAGAUCCUUCAAGUACAAAGAGAGAGAAAGAGAGGAAGAGACUAGAGACACAAUAUAGUCACCACGGGACACCCCCAGUGACCUACUUCCUCAAACCAUGUCUCACCAGACUAGUUUCCACCAAACCUUCAACACAUGAGCCUUUGGGGGACAUUUGAGAUCCAAAUCAUAACACCUUGCUUUGAAAUCCAAUGACUUCCUGUUUUUAAAUUUGAGUCCGUGUGUGUUAGAUCUUAGCACAGCCUUUAGUACAUGUGAAAGAAAGACUAUAUAGAAGGACAAAUUGUUUCGGAGACUUUUCAGAGGGGAAAAAAAAAAGUCUUUAUUUCAACAUUCACACUUUAGUGUAUUUGGGUCCAACCAGAUAUGAGUUGGAAUUAUAUACAGCCUCACUUUCCCUUUCUUUUUCUGCUGGCUGCCAUGUGGGUACAGGGGAGGAAUUAAAGCAGUCAACUUAAGCCAAGACAGGAAGCCACAUAUACCGACAGAGGGACAAGAUACGUGGACUUCCGGUUCACACUACUGUGAAGUGAUGAUAUUCCUUGUGUUUGAACACAGGCAAUGCAAUAAAUGAGAGCGAUGAUAUAUAAGAGAGAAAUAAACUUACAUCCUGUUUCAGCCUCUAUUCUCUGGCCUUUGUAACAACAGGCAAAACUGUAUUUUAAGUAAUAUUCUUACUUCAUAGUUUUAUUUAUGAUCAUUGUUGUGGGCACUUGGUAGUCCCUUUAGACAUGGAAGCUCACCUUCAAAAAAUUGUAAAUGUUGUUUUUCUAUAAAUUCUUUAAUAAUCUUCUCUCCUCUAUACCAUUUUCAAUUUUCUGACACUAGUUUUAGGAUCUCCAUAAUAGAUCAUUUGAUUUUAUUUUAUGUUUUAAAUAACAGGUUUUUUUAAAAUAUUUAUUCCUUUAGUUUUUUCAGCGGACACAACAUCUUUGUUUGUAUGUGGUGCUGAGGAUCGAACUCGGGCCGCAUGCAUGCCAGGCGAGUGCGCUACCGCUUGAACCACAUCCCCAGCCCGAUCAUUUGAUUUUCUUAGUUUUCUUUUUUGUCAAUCCCUUCUCUUCUGUUGUCCAUUAUAUCAUUAUUAUCCCAAAGCAUUGUCUUCAACUUUUUCUAUAUAACCUACUGAAUUUUUAUUUUAAUUCUGCUAUGUCUAAAACUUCUUUCAUUUUAUUGUUUCUACAUUUGGAAAAUUGUUUUGCUUCAUAGAUACAAAAUAUUUGUUUAUUUUUAAUUAAUCAAGUUGACAAUUAAAAAAUGUAAAUAUUUAUUGUGUACUAUAGUUGCAUGGAAAUAUGUAUAUAUGAUGGAAUGGGUGAACGGAGCUAAUUAACAUGUGUAUUAUGUUACACACGUAUCUCCUUUUUAUAGUGAGAACAUUUAAAAUCUAUUCUGUGGAAUUUUUAAAAUAUAUAAUAUACUAUUAUUAAAUAUAGUAACCAUGUUGUACAACGAAUCUCUUAAACUUAUUGGACCCAUCAUAUUUCCUUAUAUCACUUCUGCCCCUGGUAAAGACCACUCUACUCCCUAUAUCAUGAGUUCAACUUUUUAAUUAAUUAAUUAAUUAAUUUUUGUUUUAUUUUCAAGCAUUUUGUUAACUUUUUUGGAUUCCAUGUAUAAGUGAAAUUAUGCAGUGCUUAAUUCUCAGUGUCUGGUUUAAUUUGUUUAACGUAAUAUGUUGUUCCUCCAUGUUGUUGUAAAUAAUGGCUUUUCUUCUUUUUUAAGGCUGAAUAGUAUGUGUGUGUGUGUGUGUGUGUGUGUGUGUGUGAUUUUCUUCAACCUUGUUGAUGGACCCAGGUUGAUUCCAUCACUUGGUUAUCAGUAGUAUAACCAAUGCUGCAAUAAACAUGGGAAAGCAGAUAUCUCUUUGACAUAGUGUUUUCAUAUCCUUUGGAUAUAUGCCCAGAAGUAGGAUUUCUGAAUCAUAUGAUAGUUCCAUGUUUAAUCUUUUGAAGAACAUCCAUACUGUUUCCCAAAAUGGAUAUCCUAAUUUAUAUUCCCACCAAUAAUGCAUGCAGAUUCCCUUUUCUCCUCAUCCUCCCCAAUACUUUUUAUAUUUUAUGUUUUUGUUAAUGGUCAUUCUAACGGUUAUGAAGGGAUAGCUUAUUGUAGUUUUAAUUUCCAUUUCUCUGAUGAUGAGUGAUUUCCUAUACUCUUUCCCGUUGACAUUUGUAUGAUCUUUUGGAGAAAUACCUAUUCAGUUCCUUUGCACAUUUUAAAUUGGGUUAUUUACAUUUUUAUAUUUAUAUACAUAUAUACACAUACACAUAUUUUUUUAACUACUGAGUCAUUUGAGUUCCUUAUAAGUUUGGGAUAUUGUGUUAGUCAGCUUUUGGUCACUGCGACCAAAAUACCUGAUCUAAACAAGUGAAAGAAAGAAAGGUUUAUUUGGGCUCACAGUUUCAGAGGUUUUAGUCUAUGGACAGUAUUUUAGUCCACUUUUUUACGUUGUUACUAAAAGACCUGACCAGAAAAAUUGUAGAGGAGAAAAAGGUUUUUUUAGGGCUCACAAUUUUAUAGGUCUCAAUCCAUAGACAGCCAGCUCCAUUCCUCAGGGAUCAAGGUGAGGCAGGAACAAUAUGGCAGAAGAGUGUAGCAGAGGGAAGCAGCUCACAUGAUGAUCAGAUAGCAGAGAGAGAAAGACUCCACUUGCCAGAUAUAGAUACAAAUAUACACCAAAAAGCCACACCCUCAAAGCCCCACCUCCUCUAGCCACACCCUACCUUCCUUCAAUUACCACUCAAUUCCAUCAGGUGAUUAAUUUGCUGAUUGGGUUAAGGCUUUCACAACGCAAUCAUUUCCCUUCUGAACCCUCUCGAGUUGAGCUUUUGAGGGACACUUCACAUCCAAAUCAUAAAAGCCAGUUGCAUUACUUUUGACCUGAGAUAAGGCAUGACAUUAUGGAGGACAGGCAUGGACAGGGCCAGGGACAAGUUUGUAGUCCCUAAGAACACAUCCCUAAGUGACCUACUACCUCCUGCCUUGCCCCACCUGCCUAUAGUUUCCACUUUCUCCCAGUUUAAAAUAACUAAUCCACAAAUGGAUUAAUCCAGUUAUGAUGUUAUAAUCCUCAUGAGCCAAAAACUUCCCAAAAGUCCCACACAUGCAACUUUGUGGAACAUUCCAGAUCCAAACCACAACCUAUACUAACUUCCUAUAAGAUACAUGAUUUUCAAAUACUUUUGAACAUUCCCUAAUUGUUCUCUUCUGUUGAUUAUUUCUUGGCUGUGAAGAAGCUGUUUAGUUUAUAUAAUCCUAUUUGCAUAUUUUUAUUUUCAUUGCCUGCUUUUGGGUUUCAUAUUCAAAAGAAUAAUUGCCCAAAUCAAUAUCCAAAAGCUUCUCCUCUAUGUUGUUUUGCAGUUUCAGGUCUUUCAUUUAAUUCUUUAAUCCGUUUUGAGUUGAUUUUCAUAUGGUAUUGGUUAAGGGUCUAAUUUCACUUUUCUCCAUGUGGAUAUUUAGUUGUCCCAAUACCACUUAUGAAGACAUUGUCCUUUCCCCUUUCUGUGUCCUUGACAACUUUGUCAAAAUUUAAAGCAUCAUUUAUUUCUAAGCCAGUGUGCACGCGUGCACUCUCUCUCUCUCUCUCUCUGUGUCUCUCUCUCUGUCUCUCUGUCACACACACACUCAUGGCAAUAGUCUGUAUAUGUUUUUUUGCUAGGAACAUGCUAUUUUGAUUACUAUAGCUUAGUAGAAUUGUUUUGAAGUCAAGAAGUAUAUGCCUCCAGCCUUGUUCUUUUUGCUCCAGAUGACUUUGGCUAUUUUGGAGUUUUCUUUGGUUCCAUGUGAACUUUAAGGUUUUUUUUUGUAUGAAAAUGUCAUUGGAAUUUUGAUAGAGAUUAUAAUAAAGCCAUGGAUCACUUUGGGUGGCAUGGAUAUUUUUUAACAAUAUUAUUUCCUCAAAUCUAUAAACUCAAGAUAUCUUUUUCUGUGUGUUUUCUUCUAUUUCUUUCACCAAUACUUUGUAGUUUUCAAUGUAUAUAUCAUUCCAUUCCUUCAUUUAAUUUGUUUCUGUGUUUUUUGUGGUUAUUUUAAGUGGAUCUGAUUUCUUGUUUCUUUAUUUUUAAAUGGUUCACUAUUAGUAUAGAAAAGGACUCCUGACUCUUGUAUGUUGAUUUUCUAUCUUGUGAUUUUAUAAAGCUUGUUUAUUUUAAGUUUUUUUGGUGGCAUUUUUGAGGGUUUCUAAAUAUAUGAUUAUGUUAUCAGCAAACAGAGACAUUUUGGCUUCCUUCUUUCCCAUUAGGAUGUCUUUUAUUUCUUUCUCUUUCCUAAUUGCUCUGGCUAGAACUUUCCAUAUCAUGCUGAAUGAAAGUGGCAAGACUGAGUAUCCUUGUCCUGUUCUUGAUCUUUGAGAAAAUCUUUAAACUUUUUCUUUUUUUUUAAUUUACAUAUGACAGCAGAAUGCAUGACAAUUCAUAUUACACAUAUAUAGCACAAUUGUUCAUACCUCUGGUUGUAUACAAAAUAUAUCUGUUGAGAAUAAUGAAAUCUGUGGGUUUGUCAUAUAUGACCCUUAUUUUAUUAAGGUACUCUUCAAUGCAAUUCUUAUAUUCCUUGCAUAUCUAAUCUGUUGAGAGUUUUUCUUAUGAAAGGAUGUUGAGUUUUGUCAAAUGUUUUCUCUGAAUCUAUUGAAAAUAAUUUUUGUCCUUCAUCCUGUUGAUGUGGUGCAUCAUAUUGAUUAGUUUCUGUAUGAUAAACCAUCCUUGUACUGCUGGGAUAAAUUCCACUUGAUUAUGGUGAAAAAGUCUUUCUGCUGUCAAAUUCAGUUUUCUAGCAUUAUGUUAAAGACUUGUGCGACUAUGUUCAUGAGGGAUAUCAGCCUGUAAUUUCCUUUUCUGUAGUGUCCAUGUCUGACUUUGGCAUCAGGAUAAUGCUGGUCUUGUCAAAUGGGUUUGGAACUAUUCCCUUCUCUUCAACUUUCUGAAAGAGCUUGAGGAGGGUUGUUAUUCUUUAAACUUUGUUUGAAUUCAGCAGUAAAGCCAUCAGAAGUGAGGCUUUUCUUUGCUGGGAUACUUUUUAUUCUGAGUCAAUCUUGUUACUUCUUAUUGGUUUAUUAAGAUUUUCUGUUUCUUUGUGAUUCAGUCUCAAUUCUUUGGUUAUUACCCUGAGAAUAUUAUUGUAGAAUGGAGUUGUUUUCAAAGUUUACUUCUACUUUCUUUAUUAUUUUUGUUUCUUAAGAAGUUCCAUUUUUCCAGAUUAUUUUUGUCUUUCUCUUUCCUUUCAAAAGUUUUUCUCAAUUAUCUGUUGACCCUUGCUGUUCAUUUUUAUGUUUCAGAGUAAGGUCUUUAAAAUACUCAUGGGAAGUUCUGGCUGUGAGGGUACAGCUCAUAAAUGGAGAACUUUAUUAUGGGUGACUGAGUGACAAAAUUUGUUUUUGUGAAAGAUUCUACCAAUCUCAAGAUGUAAAAGUUGUUUGUUUGUUUUUUGUUUUGUUUUUUUGUUUUUUUCUUUAAGGAUCUCCAGUUUCCCACCCAGAGUUAAAGGUUAUAAGAGGUCAUGCUCUUGAUUCUCUGCAUCCCACUUUCCAGUAUGCAGAUGACAAUUUAAACCAUUACCCACCUUUUUUUUAGCACUGAAUCUGACCCUAUCCUCAGUUCAAGCUAUAGUAACUGAAAGAAGAAAUUUUCUAGCUCAAUUUUUAAAGAAGUCGAACUCCCUUGCCAGGAAGGGUAGCUCACGUCUUUAAUCCCAACAGCUUGCAAGGCUGAGGCAGGAGGAUCACAAGUUCAAAGCCAGGCUCAGUAACUGAGAAGACCCUGAGCAAUGUAAAAGAUUCUGUCCAAAAAUAAAAAAUAAAAAGGGCUGGGGAUGUGGCUCAGUGGUUAAGAGCCCUGGGGUUCAAUCCCCAGUACAAAAAAAAAUUAAAAAAAAUUGAACUUCCAGCCAUGAGGAAAGGUUAUAAGGGUGUGACACAGUGGGGCUAUAGAUAAAAAUCAGUCACCCAGCUCAGCUAUAGGAAAGCUGAUACAAGUAACUUUUCCAUAGGCAGAUCUUUUAUAUUCAUUCUCAAGCUUCUUUCAUGGCUUGUAAGGUGACUGAUGCCUCUUUUUUAAGUUUCUACAGAGCACAUUAAUCCCUUUCUUCUCCAGAUGCCUUGCUCAUAUCUACCUGAGCUUGCCCAAGUCAAAUUCAGUCCUCUCUUCUUUAUUCCCAAAGUUUGCUUUCUGCUAUUGCCUUCUCUCUUAUUUCUUUCUUGUGUUAUGUUUUCUGAACAACUCUCUUCCUUUUGCUGGGCUUGUGGGAGGAAAUUUAGAGAAAUGUGAGUGUACCCAUCCAGAUGGCUUUUUGAACUUUAAGUUAUCUUUCUGCCAAAUAUAUUACACCUAUGUUAUCCCAGUUUCUUUCAAAUGACAAAUUCCCCAAUUUAUUUUUUAAUUCUUUCCUGGCAUCAAAUACAGUCCUUAUACCUAUAACCAAUACAGAAUUAAAGCAAAAUUAAAUAGAUGAUUUAGAGUUUUUAAUGUUAGCAAAUAUUACAAAUCCUAUUUAUAGUAUAAACUUCAGAUAUGUGGUUUUUAAAAAAUAUUUUUUAAUUGUUGAUAGACCUUUAUUUUAUUUAGUUAUUUUUAUGUGGUGCUGAGGAUCAAACCCGGUGCCUCAGACAUGCUAAGCAAGCACUCAACCACUAAGCCACAACCCCAGCCCCAGUUAUGUGUUUUAAUUUUUUUUCUUCAUGAAUAACCAAUUUUACAUGCAUGGCUGUUUACAAAUUCUCCAAUAAUGUUGGCCAAAAAAAUAACACCAAAAUCCGGAACUAUAAAUUUUCCAAGAAAACUUCCUGGUAAAUUACCUCUGCCUCUCCAGGUCAAGCCUCUUCAGUGGUGGAGGAAAGUCACUGAUAGAUACUGUUUGAAAAGAAUUCUAGGAUAUACAUCCACUGGAGCUUCCAGGACAAGAGGAGCCAGUUCUUUUAGUUAACUAUGCUCAUGAACUUGAAGAAGUUGCUACUCAAGCCAAAGAGUUGGUAGCAAUGUGUCUGCCUCUCUUUCUUUUGAUGUAAAGUCUUGCAUGAUCUUCCAAGAGACAAAAUCCGUUGCUCUUUAGUACCACAACAUUGUGUUCUAUGGUGAACAAAAAUUCAUUCUAGAUAAUGAGACCUGGGGUUGAGUAGUUGCAUGGAGCUGGAAGGCCACAGACCUUCAUCAUGUUCUGCUGGUGCUCAACUCCUACAUACAUUUUAUCCCAAGCUAAUAAAAUCUUCUACCAUAUAUAUCCCAUGGCCAUUAGUUUUAAAAAAAAAAUCUACCUGCAUCUUUUUUUAUUUCCUUUGCCUUUUUUUUAUUUUUCAUUUUUUUCAGUCCCCUUUCAAACAGUAUUUUCCACACAGCUCCAUUUGCUCACUUGGUAGACGUGAUUGCUUUACCACCCUUCUCCUGAUUAUUUGGUUGUGUUAACUUAUACUUAGCUUGAGCCCCUUGAUGGUUGCAUACUCAACUGGCUCCCAUGAGGGUACAGAACUGUUCUUUUCUAUCCAGACACCUUCCAUUUGAG